rnacentral:rRNA from 1 species
GAACGCUAGCGACAGGCUAACACAUGCAAGUCGAGGGGUAACAGGGUAGCAAUACCGCUGACGACCGGCGCACGGGUGAGUAACGCGUAUGCAACCUGCCUAUAACUGGGGAAUAGCUCCCUGAAAGGGGAAUUAACACCGCAUAACACUAUUGAUUCGCAUGGAUUAGUAGUUAAAUGUAGCGAUACAGGUUAUAGAUGGGCAUGCGUGACAUUAGCUAGUUGGUGAGGUAACGGCUCACCAAGGCUACGAUGUCUAGGGGUUCUGAGAGGAAGGUCCCCCACACUGGUACUGAGACACGGACCAGACUCCUACGGGAGGCAGCAGUGAGGAAUAUUGGUCAAUGGGCGCAAGCCUGAACCAGCCAUGUCGCGUGCAGGAAGACUGCCCUAUUGGGUUGUAAACUGCUUUUAUAGUAGAAGAAACACAUCUACGCGUAGAUGUCUGCCAGUAUACUAUGAAUAAGCAUCGGCUAACUCCGUGCCAGCAGCUGC